rnacentral:rRNA from 1 species
GACGAACGCUGGCGGCGUGCUUAACACAUGCAAGUCGAGCGAUGAAACACCUUCGGGUGCGGAUUAGCGGCGAACGGGUGAGGAACACGUGAGGAAUCUGCCUUCCACUCUGGGAUAACUCCGGGAAACCGGGGCUAAUACCGGAUACUUUCAACUGGCGGCAUCGCCGGUUGAAGAAAGUUUUUCGGUGGAAGAUGACCUCUCGGCCUAUCAGCUUGUUGGUGAGGUAAAGGCUCACCAAGGCGACAACGGGUAGCCGGCCUGAGAGGGCGACCGGCCAAACUGGGACUGAGACACGGCCCAGACUCCUACGGGAGGCAGCAGUGGGGAAUAUUGGGAAAUAGGCGCAAGCCUGAUCCAGCCAUGCCGCGUGAGUGAAGAAGGUCUUCGGAUUGUAAAGCUCUUUUGCCAGGGACGAUAAUGACGGUACCUGGAGAAUAAGCCCCGGCAAACUUCGUGCCAGCCGCCGCAGUAA